GUGCUCGCUUCAGCAGCACAUAAACUAAAAUUGGAGCAGCACAGAGAUUAGCAUGGUCCCUGUGCAAGGAGGACACGCAAAUUCGUGAAAUGUUCUAAAAUUUU
ensembl:snRNA U6 U6 spliceosomal RNA